rnacentral:rRNA from 1 species
GACGAACGCUGGCGGCGUGCUUAACACAUGCAAGUCGUACGGUAAGGCCCUUUCGGGGGUACACGAGUGGCGAACGGGUGAGUAACACGUGAGUAACCUGCCCACAACUUUGGGAUAACGCUAGGAAACAGGUGCUAAUACUGGAUAUGUGCUCCUGCUGCAUGGUGGGGGUUGGAAAGCUCCGGCGGUUGUGGAUGGACUCGCGGCCUAUCAGCUUGUUGGUGGGGUAGUGGCCUACCAAGGCGGCGACGGGUAGCCGGCCUGAGAGGGUGACCGGCCACAUUGGGACUGAGAUACGGCCCAGACUCCUACGGGAGGCAGCAGUGGGGAAUAUUGCACAAUGGGCGCAAGCCUGAUGCAGCAACGCCGCGUGCGGGAUGACGGCCUUCGGGUUGUAAACCGCUUUCAGCAGGGACGAAGCUUUUUGUGACGGUACCUGCAGAAGAAGCACCGGCUAACUACGUG